GAUGAACGCUGGCGGCGUGCUUAACACAUGCAAGUCGAACGGAAAGGCCCAAGCUUGCUUGGGUACUCGAGUGGCGAACGGGUGAGUAACACGUGGGUGAUCUGCCCUGCACUUCGGGAUAAGCCUGGGAAACUGGGUCUAAUACCGGAUAGGACGAUGGUUUGGAUGCCAUUGUGGAAAGUUUUUUCGGUGUGGGAUGAGCUCGCGGCCUAUCAGCUUGUUGGUGGGGUAAUGGCCUACCAAGGCGUCGACGGGUAGCCGGCCUGAGAGGGUGUACGGCCACAUUGGGACUGAGAUACGGCCCAGACUCCGACGGGAGGCAGCAGUGGGGAAUAUUGCACAAUGGGCGCAAGCCUGAGGCAGCGACGCCGCGUGGGGGAUGACGGCCUUCGGGUUGUAAACUCCUUUCGCUAGGGACGAAGCGUUUUUGUGACGGUACCUGGAGAAGAAGCACCGGCUAACUACGUG
rnacentral:rRNA from 1 species